GCCGCUAUGGUGAAACAGGUAGACACGCUGCUCUUAGGAAGCAGUGCCAGAGCAUCUCGGUUCGAAUCCGAGUAGCGG
rnacentral:tRNA from 6 species